AAUCCAGGCGAAGGGCGCACGCAGCCGCCUUCGAAGCGGAGAUCGCGCCCUUCCGCCUUGUCCCCGCGGGAUUUUGACCGCCACGACUCCUCCUGUUGAUUCCACGAAACACACAACUCCCUCCUUCCCUCCCUGGAGUGGCAAACCGGUUAGUGGGAGAGGAGCCCAGGAUGGUAAGCUGGAGCCAGCGUGCCAUCUCCCAAGAGCCCCAGCCGGGUCGUAUGGACAGUGCCUAAGGGCUUUGGUGUAGACCAAUUCAACUACAGGCUUCUCCCUUAGGUCUAGUUUCUGGUCCAAGACACCGCCUCUGCCUUUUGCAAUAUUGCUAUGAUUGGCAGAAAGAAUGAUCUCAUCUCUCUGGCUCAAGUUAUCAGCUUGCCCAAUCUCUGGAGCCUUCUAUGACUCAGAUGGGUAUUCCAGGAGAGAUUCAUGCAUCCACCAAAGAAAUGCCUGAUAUAUACCAGGACAGAGGAACCAUCUAGCAAGCCUUUUAUCUGGCUUCAUAAGAAACACGUGUGUUGUAAUGCUGAGUCCCCCUCAGACUACACCCACACAGCUAUAAAGACACAUCUACCUACAUGUGAAAGAAGGUGAGCCUGAGAAUGAGGACCAACUUCUCCUAAAAUGUGAACUCACUCCCUGUCUUACUCAUAAGUGGCAAUAAUGUAUACUUCAUGAGAACAGAUUUCAUGCCUGGCUGAUUCACUGUUGUAUCCCUAACCAUCCAGCACACUGUCUGGUCCUCAAUAAAUGACUGAAUACAUGGA